rnacentral:rRNA from 1 species
GAUGAACGCUGGCGGCGUGCCUAAUACAUGCAAGUCGAGCGAACAGUCGAGGAGCUUGCUCCUCUGACGUUAGCGGCGGACGGGUGAGUAACACGUGGAUAACCUACCUAUAAGACUGGGAUAACUUCGGGAAACCGGAGCUAAUACCGGAUAAUAUAUUGAACCGCAUGGUUCAAUAGUGAAAGACGGUUUUGCUGUCACUUAUAGAUGGAUCCGCGCCGCAUUAGCUAGUUGGUAAGGUAACGGCUUACCAAGGCAACGAUGCGUAGCCGACCUGAGAGGGUGAUCGGCCACACUGGAACUGAGACACGGUCCAGACUCCUACGGGAGGCAGCAGUGGGGAAUCUUCCGCAAUGGGCGAAAGCUUGACGGAGCAACGCCGCGUGAGUGAUGAAGGUCUUCGGAUCGUAAAACUCUGUUAUUAGGGAAGAACAAAUGUGUAAGUAACUAUGCACGUCUUGACGGUACCUAAUCAGAAAGCCACGGCUAACUACGUG